UACGUAGGUGGCAAGCGUUGUCCGGAUUUAUUGGGUUUAAAGGGUCCGUAGGCGGUUUUGUAAGUCAGUGGUGAAAGCCCAUCGCUCAACGGUGGAACGGCCAUUGAUACUGCAAGACUUGAAUUAUUAGGAAGUAACUAGAAUAUGUAGUGUAGCGGUGAAAUGCUUAGAGAUUACAUGGAAUACCAAUUGCGAAGGCAGGUUACUACUAAUGGAUUGACGCUGAUGGACGAAAGCGUGGGGAGCGAACAGG
rnacentral:rRNA from 1 species